CUUCUGACCAAAGAAAACUUAAAGAUGGCCGCCUCCACAGAGCAAGUGUAAACCAAGAGAAACAUUGAAAAGAGCUAUGUACAUAUGUAUGCAUUACAACACAAUACUCACAUAAUCUGUCAACAUAUCUGAUAUUUUAUUUUAUUUUAAAUAAGAAUAAACAUUUAUGACUGUUUUCCUCUAAGGAUUUGUUGCAGUAUUAUGGUAUAUGGAUAUUGAAUCAUUGUUGCAGUAUCGUAGUAUAUGUAUAUUUAAUCUUAUUCUUCUCAAUAUGUUGUGAGGACCAAUAUAUUUUUAAAAAAAUUUUGUUUGUUGCUGUUUUGUAAACUAUUCCCUCUUUUUGGUAAGCACAAGUUUGAUCAGCCUGCAAGGCAAUUUAUAGUGAAAACUGCCAGAGUCAGAUUAUAUACAGUAUAAUGCAUUUAGGCAGGUGCCAUGGAUAUACGACAAUAUUGAGGAAAAUCAGGGACUACUACAGAUUUCAGAGAGUGUGAAGUUAUGGGCCUCUUCCGAAUUAAUGAAUCUGCAGCCUGAUAAUGACAGGCACUAAAUGUUUUGCUCUACUGACUCUCUCUAAACCCCUUUUAUGUUGGGGAAAUACACUUUGUUUUCUGUGAGAUUAUCUCUUACUCACAUUGGCACAUAUAUCCCAGUUGCAUUAAACAUUAUAUUUCCUAUGUCAUAUAUUACAUAGUUACAUAGGCUCAAAAUAGACAUGCGCCCAUCAAGUGCAAUCUUUUUCGCAUCUGUUUUUAUAUAUAUGUACAGCACCAACAAGUAACCACACACUGGCACUGUACCUCCAAUUUUAAAUAAAUGAUCCAUACUCACAUCAGAUUAUCUCCCAAUGCCAGUCGAUCCAAUCAACCCAUUUUCUUAAAUUAUAAAAAUCAACAUGACAUACUUGAAAACGAUUGUCCAGGAUUGAUGUAUCUCUCAUGAAGAGGGAACUUUCAGACAUUUUGGAUCUGGACCUCUCAUUAUGGAUGGGAUCAGUCUGAUAUGCAAGUGGUAUAUCUCUCUGUAAUGGCACAGGUGAGCAAAAACAUUUUUGAGAUAUGAGCAAUGAAUUACCAAAGGGGAAAGCUAUUAAGGUUAAAGGUUUGGCCCCUUCUCAAAGUUCUCAUAUUCUCUGUUAUUGCUUCACAUGUAUAUUUUGCAUAUUUUAUUUUUGUUACAUAGCAUAUACCAUCUUUCCCCCAAAAAUAGACUUGGUCUUAUAUUAAUUUUUCCUCCGAAAGACUCACAAAGGCUUAUUUCCAGGGGGUGUUUUAUUUUGGGGGAAAAUGGUAGCAAGCAUGUGCUACAAAGGAGGUCUGCGUUCGGGGGAUCAGUUCACUAGGGCAUAUACAGUUGCAAGAAAAAGUAUAUGAACCCUUUGGAAUGAUAUGGAUUUCUGCACAAAUUGGUCAUAAAAUGUGAUCUGAUCAUCAUCUAAGUCACAAUAGACAAGCACAGUCUGCUUAAACUAAUAACACACACAGAACGAAAUGUUGCCAUGUUUUUAUUGAACACACCAUGUAAACAUUCACAGUGCAGGUGGAAAAAGUAUGUGAACCCAUAGACUAAUGACAUCUCCAAGAGCUAAUUGGAGUGAGAUGUCAGCCAACUGGAGUCCAAUCAAUGAGAUGAGAUUGGAGGUGUUGGUUACAGCUGCCCUGCCCUAUAAAAAACACACACCAGUUCUGGGUUUGCUUUUCACAAGAAGCAUUGCCUGAUGUGAAUGAUGCCUCGCACAAAAGAGCUCUCAGAAGAUCUACGAUUAAGAAUUGUUGACUUGCAUGAAGCUGGAAAGGGUUAUAAAAGUAUCUGCAAAAGCCUUGCUGUUCAUCAGUCCACUGGUAAGACAAAUUGUCUAUAAAUGGAGAAAGUUCAGCACUGCUGCUACUCUCCCUAGGAGUGGCAGUCCUGUAAAGAUGACUGCAAGAGCACAGCGCAGACUGCUCAAUGAGGUGAAGAAGAAUCCUAGAGUGUCAGCUAAAGACUUACAAAAGUCACUGGCAAAUGCUAACAUCCCUGUUAGCGAAUCUACAAUACGUAAAACAC